rnacentral:rRNA from 1 species
CCCCUAGAUGUUCUGGGCCGCACGCGCGCUACACUGAACAGUUCAACAAGUCUUAACCUUGGCCGAUAGGUCUGGGUAAUCUUUGAACGCUGUUCGUGAUUGGGAUAGACCUUUGCAAUUAUGGGUCUUCAACCAGGAAUUCCUAGUAAACGCAAGUCAUCAGCUUGCAUUGAUUACGUCCCUGCCCUUUGUACACACCGCCCGUCGCACCUACCGAUUGAAUGGUCCGGUGAAAUCUCGGGACGGCGGCUUGGUCGCUUGCGUCCGACUGCUGAAACUUGAUUAAACCAUAUCAUUUAGAGGAAGGUGAAGUCGUAACA